CUAACAAAGUUAGAUUUAGGAAAAGGAGAUAAGAUAAAAUCAUAUGGAACGCAAAGACCAUAACAGUUUGAGAAAAAAGAAAACUUUGCCCUUUUUCCUUUCCUAACAAAACAGUACUAAAGCUAGGAGAUGCAUCAAAACCUCUUUCUCCAAAAUCAUAAAGUGUAUCAAGAAAAUAAGUUUAUAGUAGCACCACAUAAACCUAAAUUUGGUGUGAAAGAAAUCAUAGGUUGUUGAUGUAAAAAUACCGAAAAUAGGCGAAUAAUAAUAAGGGAAUUUUCCGAAAUUUUUGGAAAUUUUUCUGGAAUUUUUCGGAGCACGUAUGGACGCGUUUACGGGGAUAGAAAACGGGGUCCGGGAAAGCCUGUUUAGGCUACCCCACUGAACGAGGAAAUGUUUUAUUUCGUUUCCCAAUUUCCUUUUUCUUAUUUUUUUUUCUUUCCCUCGCCGAACCCCUCACCCGACGGUUUCCAUUUCUUCCCCAAUUCUUCACUGUGUCGUUCCUUCUUCACACCAGCGACGUCGACUCCACAACCCUAGCGCCGGCCACCGCGAGUCCCAGCCAUCUUCUCUGCCGUGUGCUUAAGGUCUUCUCUCCCUCUCCCCGCUUAAGUCGAGAUCGCGGCAACGAGAAGAGGUCAGGCUAGCCGGCGUUGCCCACCUCCGGUUCCCUUACCUGGAGAGGAAACUGCGUUGAUUUUUCCCGUGCUCUAAUCACUGCUGCCGCCUCCACCGCCCUGCGACCUAUGCUCCGCAGCCUCGUGGAGCACCGGAACAAGGACUUCUCUUCACCGGCACCGACUACCCAGAUCAUUCGGCCGUCGUCCAUUCAUUCUUGGCUGUGAUCACUUGCUAGAAGCCAAGCACCUGAAUUUCCUAAUUUUGGUUGUGCCCUAGUUUCUGGCCGAUUUCCCCACUCACUGGAGCAGGCCACGGUUUCCAAUCAGUGACACUCUUCACCAGAGAAUAGCCUGCCAAUUUGGUUAGGGGUAUUCGAGUGGAGAUUUUGACCCCCACCUUGCUGCAAUCACUGGAUCUGGCAGCAAUUUCGGCCACAAACCUUGAUCCAGCAGUAUCAAGGUUGAUGCUGUCAGGAGAGAGUUCCAGUUGCUAGUCCCCUGCAGCCCACGAGGCUGUUAUUUAUCUUUUGGCUUUAUGUACUAGACUAUGUUUGGACAUGUUUUGGAUACUUUGGAUCCUGUAUGGAUUGCUUUUAUUGGUUGAUGACUUUCAUUUGGAUUUGUUUUA